AGAAAAUAUUCAGACUACAUGUGCUUAAAUGUUUUAUUUUUUCCAAAAGAACUUUAGCAUUAUUCAGGCCCAUGACAUCCUGUUACUAUAUUCUGUAUUAACUGGGUUUUUUGUUUGCUUAAGUCAGAUAUGAGACAUUGUACCAUGGGAACUUUCUGAUUGACUUCUCCUACUUAACUCACCUUCUUGUGAAUGUUGGUUCCUUUUUCAUAAAUGCCUUGCCCACUAGUCAAUGAGUACUUACAGUGGAGGCAGUAGAUUUUAGGACAUAUUAAUCCUUGUAAAGUAAUUGGAUGUUAGCUGAAGCCAAAAGGCAAUACCAGUAGCCUCUGUUGGGAAGAAACGAUAGCGUGUGAGUUAAUUGAGGCUCAGUUUUGGUUUUUUUUUUUUUUUUUUUUUUUUUUUUUUUUUUUUAGGUGAUUCAACACUUAAGGCCUUGCGGAUCUACUUAAGAAAGCAACAGAGCUCACAAGAAAGGAAACAAACUGAAAGUCUGUUUAGGUUUGCAGUAAGCAUUGGCUACUGGCAUGACCCUUACAUCCAGCAUUUUGUAAGACUGUCUAAGGAGAAGAAGGCCCCCGAAA